rnacentral:rRNA from 1 species
GACGAACCGUGCUAACGUUAUUCGGAAUCACUGGGCUUAAAGGGCGCGUAGGCGGGUGACCAAGUCAGGGGUGAAAUCCUUCGGCUUAACCGGAGAACAGCUUCUGAUACUGGUCGUCUGGAGGGAGGUAGGGGCAUGCGGAACUUCCGGUGGAGCGGUGAAAUGCGUAGAUAUCGGAAGGAACACCGGUGGCGAAGGCGGCGUGCUGGACCUCUUCUGACGCUGAGGCGCGAAAGCCAGGGGAGCAAACGGG